rnacentral:lncRNA from 1 species
CAUGUUACAUGGAAAUGUCUCGCUUAUAUAGUAGGAGAUCUUCCUUGAAAUAAUCAAAGAAAAAGUACAAAAGUAGGUGGUUUCCGCUUAGUGAAGAAGUUAAGCUCUAAACGAUGUCUCAUUCACCCCACGCCCGGGCCGUGCCCUCACUCUGAUCGGUAUCUACCCAUUGGACGUACACGUUGGCGUGGGGACGUUGACGGCCAAAUUUGACCCUAUACAACACGCAUCAAAAAUAUUCUUUAUCCAAACUGUUUGGGUCUGGAAAUUAAACAAGAAAAUCCAUAAUCACGAAUCGAUAUUCCUUACCAUCCAAGUGAAUGCGUGAAAUAAAAAAGACAAUCCGUGCUUAUAUAUCCUCAUUAUAAAAGAAAGGAGAAUGCAUAAAUAAGUUGAUGACAAUCAGAACUUGCUAAUUUAAGCAAUUAUGUGCUAGCAUAUUGUCCCGUUACAAAAUUUCCUAAGCUAAAUGAGCCAUAAUUUUGUUAUAAUAAUUUAACACAACAGCAUUUUACCGAGCAGAAUAAGACCGCAUAUACAAUUGGAAAAGCCAAACCCGUGCUGAGAAAACCAAAAAGAAACAUUGAUAUUGUUCCUAUAUCGAUCUCGAGCAGUAUGCUUGGACCCAUGUUCAUAAUUAUGACAUUAAUAAUAGCGUAAAUCAAUAUUCCUCCUGUUGGGAUACCAUUAUCGUUGAGCUCUUUUGGUCUUCAAGAUUGGAAGUCGAAGGAGACGUUAAUUCUGGCCCUGUGGGAGUAAUACUGUUGCUAUUAUUAUUAUUAUUAUUAUUAUUAUUAUUAUUAUUAUUAUUAUUAUUAUUAUAGGAGUAGUUUUCGAUCUGGCGGAGAGAGAGGCGGAAGGGGAAGUUAUUAAUUAGCAGUAUGAUUACUAGUAGUGAGAAUGAAAUGUUCAUGUAAAGAGAAGAGAAGAGGAAAUUACCACUUUUGUAGCCAUUGUUGCAAAACCUAUGUAGAGGAAGCAACUCCGGGCUUCCUUCGUUCCACGUAGGGUGGAUUUUUUUAUUUUUUAUUUUUGGUUGGUUUAGGAAUUUAGGAUUUAGUACUUCGGCAUGUCCUUUGCUUUUCUUCUUCGGAUUCCU